GCCCCCCCCCCCCCCACACACACACACACACAAACAAAGAGGCGUUAGGCUGAGACGCUGAAAGUCCGGAUUUAAAGUGCAGAAAAUUAAGCCAUUGAAUCUGCCUGUCCAUGACGUACAAAGACACACUAUGAGCCAGUAUGAUCCGACCAGACCUUACAUCAGCAUUGAGGAGUUGUCGGAGAAGAAAGAGGCUGAUUGAAGCGGGACAGAUGACAUGGAUCCAUCCUUCCACAGCCAGGAGCGCACCGACCUGUGUGCCACACUUCAUAUAAGACUGGAAGCUACACUGAUCUCACAGCUACACACCACAGACGUCUACACACUGGAGAAGAGUCCCACAAAGAAGUCAUGACCCAGAGGCUGCAGAGAAACAUUUCAAGCCUCAUCUGAGUUUUUGUACAAUAUUUUUGCUGUAUGUAAAUAAAGCUUUCACUCCA